CACGUAGUUAGCCGGGGCUUUCUUCUCAGGUACCGUCACUCCGAUAGCAGUUACUCUACCGGACGUUCUUCCCUGGCAACAGAGCUUUACGAUCCGAAAACCUUCAUCACUCACGCGGCGUUGCUCCGUCAGACUUUCGUCCAUUGCGGAAGAUUCCCUACUGCUGCCUCCCGUAGGAGUCUGGGCCGUGUCUCAGUCCCAGUGUGGCCGUUCACCCUCUCAGGUCGGCUACGCAUCGUCGCCUUGGUGAGCCGUUACCCCACCAACUAGCUAAUGCGCCGCAGGCCCAUCCAUGAGUGACAGAUUGCUCCGUCUUUCAUCACGCUCCCAUGCAGCAACGUGAAUUAUCCGGUAUUAGCUACCGUUUCCGGUAGUUAUCCCAGUCUUAUAGGCAGGUUACCUACGUGUUACUCACCCGUCCGCCGCUAACCAUCAGGAGAGCAAGCUCUCCAUCAAGUCCGCUCGACUUGCAUGUAUUAGGCACGCCGCCAGCGUUCG
rnacentral:rRNA from 1 species